GUAUAGGGAAGAAGAUUUACACUUGAUGAAAAAAUUUUAGCAUUGUUGCUGUAUAAACAAUCUGGAUCUUGUUAUAAAUUAUUAUCAAAAUUAUUUGUUUUACCAAGUGCUACAACUCUAAAAUGUUUGCUACGAACAAUUUCUUUACAAUCAGAAAUUAAUAAAUUUAUUUUUGAGCAUCUUUGGCAACAUAUAGCACAAAUAAAAAAUGAAACAGACAAUUAUGAAUAUUUAUGUGGGACGAGAUGUCAUUAGAAGCCAAUUUGCAAUAUGACCAAUUGAAUAAUUUGUUUUGAAGAUUGGGGACAUAGACGUACAUCACUAAUAGCCGAUCAUGUUUUGGUUUUUAUGGUAAAAGGAAUUUUGAAAGGAUGGAAAAUUCUAUUAUCUUACAACUUCUGCAAAAGUCAAACGAAAUCUGCACAUUUAAUUAGAUGCAUAAAAGAAAUUAUAAAAGAAUUAUCUGAAGCUGGUUUGACAAUAAUUGCAACUGUAUGCGACCAAAAGAAACCAAAUAUUAAAUCUAUUAAGAAACUUCUUGAGGAUUCUAGAAGUAAAUGUAUACAAAAAGGUCAAGAAUAUCGAAUAAAGGAACGACAGUUUGCAUUAUGGGACAUCAUUGAUCAGGCAUAUAAAAUGGAUAUUUACACAAAUACAUUGAAUCGUCAAUUGCCAAAAUUAACCGAUGAACAUGUUAUUAGAUCAAAAAUAAAUAGAUGAAAGUUAAAUGUGCUGCUCAAAUUUUUAGUGCAAGAUUAUCAGCAUAUAUUGAAUACAACAGCAAAAUCAAAGAAGGAUUUGUUGAGCACAGAUUGGUCUACUACAAAUACCAAAGACAGGAUAUGACACAGCAAUAGUAUUAGAUUUUUUCAACAAAGUUUUUGAUUCCGUGAACGCACAUACUUUGCAUCCAGAGACUCCUUUUAUACGUGUUGCGGUAACAAAAAAUAGCAAACACCAUGAUUUUUGGCCACCUGCUACUAAAUUAUUGUCCGAAAUGCGAUAUGUAGAUCCGAAAACUAAACAACCAGUUAAGUGCAUACCGUCAUUAAAAAAUUGGAUUUUUACUCUACGUGGAUUUCAGGACAUAUGGAAAAUAGUUGAUAAUGCAGGUAUACAAUUUUUAAAGACAAGAAAUAUUAAUCAAGAUCAAACUAGAAAAUUUUUUUGGUAUGAUUUGUAGUCACGGACGUAGAAAUAUUAAUCCUUCGUGUAGCCUAUUUUGUGGAUCAUAUAAAACAUUAAUAAUUAAUAAUUUAACAUCAAAACGGUCUAUGGGCUCUAACUGCGAAAAUAAAAAUGACGGUAAUUUAUUAUUUAAUUUAAAACAAUUUGUGAAAAAUGUUUUUCAUGUAAAUAAUGCAUUAGAACAAAUAGUUGAAGAAGACUUUGUAUCAUUCCCAAAUAACAUAAUAAUAUAUAACAUUUCAUCACAUAAAAAUAAUAGUCAAAUGUAUGUUUCUUGUUGGAUUGCAAAAAAGAUUUUAUCUUUGAAACAAUUUAAAAAUUGUUUAGACUGUAAACAGAGUUUUCUAACAACAAAUAUAACAUCUGAAGAAUAUGUGCAACUAGUUCAUAGAGAAUAUGUACGAAAGAAACCUUCUUUAACUUAUACAUCAAUGACUUUUUUAA